UUAAGUUCAGCGGGUAGUCCUACCUGAUUUGAGGCCAGAUAAUAAAAAAGUCAUGUCUAGCAAGCUAGAACUUGUAUUAGAAAGCGGACAAACGUCCCAGAAACUCGGCCAAUCCGAAGAUUGUCCUCAGCGAAAUAACUUAUUACGCCAAGUCAAACCAAGUCUCAAAGACAGAUCCAGCUAAUACUUUUAAGCUGAGC
rnacentral:misc_RNA from 1 species